AGAUAAUAUUGUAUUUCGUAUAUAUAUGUUUAUAGGUUUAUUCGUAUCAACAAAUCUGUGUACGAGUUAAUAACGCACCCUGGGUUCCCUGCAUUUUCAGUGACAGAGAACCAGAUAUAAGAAUGCAGGGAAACAAGCCUUGUUACAAGGUUUGAGGGUCUCUGCUAGAAUCAUGUGGACCCCAGUGUAACACAUCUAUGGAAAGAGAGAAAAUCUCAGCUCAAGGGUCAACAUGUCUUUAUUCCAAGAAAGAGUGUACAUAUGCCAGAAUCAUAUGGACCGCAGACUGGCCCUGGUGAUUCCGUUAAGAAAAAAGAGGAAAAAUCAGUGUUUGUGCUCAUUGGUCAUUGGACAAAGGGUGUAUGCCAGAAUUUUUUGAAGAACAGUCUGAAUCUGACAUGGAAAAAAUGAAGAAAAACAGCCUUCCUGUUUAUAAAUCUACAUUCUGACAAAGGGUAAGAAAGAAAUUCAGGAGUUCUUAAAUUGCCCUCAGACUUCUUGGAUUGCAUCAAACUGCUAAAAGACCUCAACAAAAACAGUGUCUUGAAAAAAAAAUGAAAAUAUUCAGUGAAAAAAAAAUUAUGAGAGAAAAAGCCACUAAAAAUCUUCAAGCCUUUGAGCUGAAAUCUGGAAGUCAAUCUGUGGACUUUACUGGUAUGUCUUACUAAUUAAGUCAUCAUUUGUGUAUAAUAAAUACACUAAACUGUAAACACUUGUUAAAAUGUAUAUAAUUUUUAGAUAUAAUUUGUAGCUCACAGACAUCAAUAGUUUCAUGUAAUUUAAGUAAUAAUGAAAAUUUCCUGUUGUCUGGCUAGAUUAGAAACUAUAUAUUAUUGUCCAAUUUUGGAUAUUGUGAAAUAAUUCAUUUAGUAAAAUUGGGUAUGCAUACAUGUGUAUACACUUACAUGUAAAUUAAUUGUUAUAGCAAAUUUAAUCUAUCAUUAAGUUGAAUGUUGACUAAUGUUUUUCAUCAAAAUUGUUUACACUGAAUUGUUUGUGGAUUUUUCCAUUUGCCCAAUUAUGUCAAG